UACGUAGGGUGCGAGCGUUGUCCGGAAUUAUUGGGCGUAAAGGGCUCGUAGGCGGUUUGUCGCGUCGGGAGUGAAAACACCGGGCUUAACUCGGUGCUUGCUUUCGAUACGGGCAGACUAGAGGUAUGCAGGGGAGAACGGAAUUCCUGGUGUAGCGGUGAAAUGCGCAGAUAUCAGGAGGAACACCGGUGGCGAAGGCGGUCUCUGGGCAUUACCUGACGCUGAGGAGCGAAAGUGUGGGGAGGCGAACAGG
rnacentral:rRNA from 1 species